AUUGAACGCUGGCGGCAGGCCUAACACAUGCAAGUCGAGCGGAUGAAGGGAGCUUUCUCCUGGAUUCAGCGGCGGACGGGUGAGUAAUGCCUAGGAAUCUGCCUGGUAUUGGGGGAUAACGUCCGGAAACGGGCGCUAAUAUCGCAUACGUCCUGAGGGAGAAAGUGGGGGAUCUUCGGACCUCACGCGAUCAGAUGAGCCUAGGUCGGAUUAGCUAGUUGGUGGGGUAAAGGCCUACCAAGGCGACGAUCCGUAACUGGUCUGAGAGGAUGAUCAGUCACACUGGAACUGAGACACGGUCCAGACUCCUACGGGAGGCAGCAGUGGGGAAUAUUGGACAAUGGGCGAAAGCCUGAUCCAGCCAUGCCGCGUGUGUGAAGAAGGUCUUCGGAUUGUAAAGCACUUUAAGUUGGGAGGAAGGGCAGUAAGUUAAUACCUUGCUGUUUUGACGUUACCAACAGAAUAAGCACCGGCUAACUUCGUG
rnacentral:rRNA from 1 species